CUCCUUGCCUGUUAAGGUAAGCCGCUGGUGGGUCGGGAUGCUUUGUUUACUUGGAGCAUCUGCAGGCAUGGAGCCCCUCAGCCCCUGGUGGCUGCGGUUC